UACGUAGGGGGCAAGCGUUGUCCGGAUUUAUUGGGCGUAAAGAGCGUGUAGGCGCCAGACAGGUCCGUUGUGAAAACUCGAGGCUCAACCUCGAGACGCCGAUGGAAACCGUCUGGCUAGAGUCCGGAAGAGGAGAGUGGAAUUCCUGGUGUAGCGGUGAAAUGCGCAGAUAUCAGGAAGAACACCCGUGGCUAAGGCGGCUCUCUAGUACGGUACUGAC
rnacentral:rRNA from 1 species